rnacentral:rRNA from 1 species
UGCCCCGCAAGGGGAGCCCGGAGACAGGUGCUGCAUGGCUGUCGUCAGCUCGUGUCGUGAGAUGUUGGGUUAAGUCCCCGCAACGAGCGCAACCCUCGCCUUUAGUUGCCAGCAUUUAGUUGGGGCACUCUAAAGGGACUGCCGGUGUUAAACCGGAGGAAGGUGGGGAUGACGUCAAGUCCUCAUGGCCUUUAUGCCUAGGGCUACACACGUGCUACAAUGGGCGGUACAAAGGGUUGCAAUCCCGCGAGGGGGAGCCAAUCCCAAAAAGCCGUUCUCAGUUCGGAUUGGAGUCUGCAACUCGACUCCAUGAAGUUGGAAUCGCUAGUAAUCGUGGAUCAGCAUGCCACGGUGAAUACGUUCCCGGGCCUU